rnacentral:rRNA from 1 species
UACGUAGGGGGCAAGCGUUGUCCGGAAUCAUUGGGCGUAAAGAGCGCGUAGGCGGCCCUGUAAGUCCGCUGUGAAAGUCAAGGGCUCAACCCUUGGAUGCCGGUGGAUACUGCAGGGCUAGAGUCCGGAAGAGGCGAGUGGAAUUCCUGGUGUAGCGGUGAAAUGCGCAGAUAUCAGGAGGAACACCGAUGGCGAAGGCAGCUCGCUGGGACGGUACUGACGCUGAGGCGCGAAAGCGUGGGA